rnacentral:lncRNA from 1 species
AUGAUGUGCGUACAUCUGGUUCUUAGCUUCUACUUGUUGAAGAGUCUUCAUGGUGCGUGUAACCCCUUUCACCUAUCUACUCAGCCAAUGGACACCAAGACUGCCUCCAAGUCUCUGCCACGAUGACCAUUCUCAUACAGCUUCCCUCAUGGACUCACACACCUGCAGUGGAAUUGGAACUGGAUGUUUCUGUCUGGUGGAGAACGUAUUCCACAACUGGAGCCAGACCCACCCUGCCACAGAGGAAGCCACGUGACCCAGGAGUGGUUUAGAAAUGGGCACAUGACCCAAGCAGAGGCUUCCCAGGACCUUUCUGUUGGAACUAUUUGAAACUACUUUCAUUCCACUGGAAUUCUAUGCUGGCAACCACCUUCUCACCUUUUGGAGAGCACCUGUCCAGCAGGUGCAGAGAGAGGCACGUGUAUGAUGACAUUGUCUGAAACCUUACAUCAGCCUUGCCCGAGGUCAAAUGCAUUUCAGUGAAUAAACUCAUGGAUUUCUUUCUUGAUUUAAGCUAAUUUGAGUUGAAUUUCUGUCACUCAAGACUGAAAGUGUCCUGACCCUUAUGUGUAGGAGUUAGGAGUGAGAAAUCAUUUAACAGAAUUCUUGAGAGCAUGCUCUGUUUACAUCUUCACUCAUUUCAAGCCCAGGCUACUUAUGAUGCAUGCCUGGCCCUUAGGCACUCUCAGCAUAGUUGUUUAUGAAGGAUUUUGGACAAUAAUUGACUUUUUGGGUGUCUAAGGUUUGAGUUUCUUUUAUCAACUAGUGCUGGAGGAGCCAAAUAGUCAAGACUGGGGAAAGGAGAGGAGGAAGAAGACCAUGAAGUAGGGAACCUACUGAUCCUAGGAGCCAUCCAGGAACUGCAACUAUUGUGUGCCUAAAUACAGGAAGGGCCAGCGACUGAGGAUGUGCCUUCUGGAUGCCUGCCACGUUUCCUGCUCAUUCACCCAAGCCUGCCGAGAUAUCAGUUUACCCAGAGAGUCAACGUACUUUUUCCACAGUGAGACCAAUUGAGAACACAAGUAUCCCAAUUUCCAGGAGCUUCCAGCUCUAGGUUCUUGGGCACAGGCUGAUGUGAGUUCAUUGUGGAUUCCUGUGAAGUGUGUUACUGCAGGUGACCGAAACUGGACUUGGACUGAGGUCUCACCUACCAAAUCAUAAUAAAUAUCUAUAUAUUUGGAGAUAGAGAUGAAAACCAUGUGGCUGUAUCCAGUUGGAGUGAAAAAUAUGAACUAUGAAGAAAGAAGGAGUUCUGCUUCUUCCAAAGGAGUGACUCCCAAAGGAACAAGAAUUGACCAUAGGUUAUGGCUUGUGUUACAAUACACCGAUGUUGUCUUUGAGGCCAUCCACUGACGUCCUCACCCAUGGCAUAAGCAAGUUUUUCUGAAGGAAGAAGCAGCAGAAUAAAUUGGAUACUUAAUGAUUGUCUACCCCUUCAAGCUAAUGUGCAUAAGAUUAACACUACUCCAUUUCCCACUACUUUGCAUCUGGGGACACUUCUUACAAGGAUUCAUAUGCCAUGAGGACUGGCAUUAUGUUGAGGUGGAAUAAAGAGCUGGUUACAUCCUAUAAUUUCAGAAGCACUGCAAGCUUUAUUUGCCACAAAUGCCUAUCCUCUAGCAGACUUCUUAGAGUUGGAAUAGAGCUUUUUAAGAGAAUUUCCUUUGGGUUACAACACUAUAUCCAGAAAAUUUUUGUUAAAGUGCAGUUGUCUUACCUGAGUAGGAUAACAUAUACCCUGUCAUUCACACAUCAGCAUGGGUUAGUCCAGUAAAGACCAUGCAGGACUAGAAUAUGGGAAUGGUGAAUUUUAAGAAAGAAGAACUAUAAAAUCUGGAGCUGUCUAGAGAAGCAGUAAUAGGCUUAAGCAGACAGGAGUUUCCUAAAUGGGCCCAGGGUGGACUUGGUCUACUUCCACAAUUUGCCUUGGGAGCUCCUCUGUAAGAAGGAGCAGAGAUUGAG